rnacentral:rRNA from 1 species
AGGGGUGAACCUGCGGAAGGAUCAUUCA